rnacentral:rRNA from 1 species
GACGUAGGGUGCGAGCGUUGUCCGGAUUUAUUGGGCGUAAAGAGCUCGUAGGCGGCUCGUCGCGUCGACCGUGAAAACCCGCGGCUUAACUGCGGGCUUGCGGUUGAUACGGGCGGGCUAGAGUUCGGUAGGGGAGACUGGAAUUCCUGGUGUAGCGGUGAAAUGCGCAGAUAUCAGGAAGAACACCCGUGGCUAAGGCGGCUCUCUAGUACGGUACUGACGCUGAGACGCGAAAGCGUGGGGAGCGAACAGG